GGAUGAACGCUGGCGGCGUGCCUAAUACAUGCAAGUCGAGCGAACAGACGAGGAGCUUGCUCCUCUGACGUUAGCGGCGGACGGGUGAGUAACACGUGGAUAACCUACCUAUAAGACUGGGAUAACUUCGGGAAACCGGAGCUAAUACCGGAUAAUAUAUUGAACCGCAUGGUUCAAUAGUGAAAGACGGUUUUGCUGUCACUUAUAGAUGGAUCCGCGCCGCAUUAGCUAGUUGGUAAGGUAACGGCCUACCAAGGCAACGAUGCGUAGCCGACCUGAGAGGGUGAUCGGCCACACUGGAACUGAGACACGGUCCAGACUCCUACGGGAGGCAGCAGUAGGGAAUCUUCCGCAAUGGGCGAAAGCCUGACGGAGCAACGCCGCGUGAGUGAUGAAGGUCUUCGGAUCGUAAAACUCUGUUAUUAGGGAAGAACAAAUGUGUAAGUAACUAUGCACGUCUUGACGGUACCUAAUCAGAAAGCCACGGCUAACUACGUG
rnacentral:rRNA from 1 species